rnacentral:lncRNA from 1 species
UAUUUUUCUCGCGGCGUUGCAACGAGAAAACUAGUGAUGUCGCAACGACGCGAAGACAUUCGAAACAGAGACAAAAUAGAGACGACGCGGCUCAUUACAUUGCGACAGUUUCUUAACUAAAAACAGUUGCGUAUUAGACUUUUAGUAAGGUUACUUUUCCCAAUUAAACUCUGAUUAUUUCACAGAUAUUGAAGUUUUUUUAAAACUCUAAUUUCAGCCUAUUUAAAAAGCCAUAAAAACCUUAAAACAUGAGAUAAUAAUACAACAUUAGAGAGAAAAGAGAGAGUUUUAGAAAGCUUUAAGAGAAAGCUUUAAGGAUUGUUUUGAAUUCCUCCAUCUUGUACUCUUCAUUUGUUUGCUCAUUAGUGAAGUCUCAUUUGCCUGUGGUUUUUUAUCCUCUUGAUUGGAGGAGUUUUUCC